UCGGUUCCGGUUCACGUCUCACCGCAGGCGCGCGAGCGGCCUGAACUGGCGACCCGGCACC
rfam:Mycobacterium thermoresistibile ATCC 19527 contig42, whole genome shotgun sequence.